UGGAUUUACUAGGAAGGUGGGACGUUGGAGGGGUGGCCGCAUGGAGUGAGUACUGUCUCUGGCCACCGAGCAGAGCCAGUGACAGCAGCGUCCUGGUAGGCAGGCAGGCGUAUCAGGUUUCAGAGGAUGCGGCUGGGAACGGGAGUAGAGGUGAGGGGUCGUUGCAUCUGUCGCGGUGUGUAUCUUUUGGGGGUUCAGCGCCACCAGCGACUUGGGCCUCAUUCAUCGCGCUUACAUUUCUCCACCUCAUUUGAAGAACGAGCUUCGUAGCCCACGGAGCUGAGGACCUCACUGUCACCCAGGCUGGAGUGCAGUGGUGCAAUCACAGCUCACUGGCAGCCUCGACCUCCUGAGCUCAAGAGCUCCUCCACCUCAGCCUCCUGAGUAGCUGGGGCCACAGGUAUAUGAGCUCCCUGAAAGCACAAAGCAGUUAUUUCCAUCUUCAGAUCAUUCAGAGAUUAUGAAGGCACAAACCCUGCCUUCAAUUUGCUUAUAGUCAAGUGGAGCAGACACAAGUCAAUGAUUGCAGUAUAGCCACUGAAGUAAUCUAAAAGAGGUGGGGAGGCCACAGCUUAUGUGAAUGACUUUCUCAGGAGUUAUAAAGUGAUACAGACUUAUCAGCAGGUUGCAGGUGAACAUGGCCUUGAGGUAAAUCUGUCCCUUGCUGAAUACAGUUUCAGUAGAUUGUUUAUAGUAGUUUCAGGAAUUGAGAUUUUUUACAAAAAUACAAAAGUUUUGCUUGGUUCUGUUCUAGAUGUUUUCUUCUAAAUAAAUGAGAAAGAUGUUUCAACAAAGGCUCUUUAUGCUGAAUAAUUGUGAUGCUUGAAGUUGCUAAUCUGCUUUAAGUGGAUUUUAAAUGUCAGGCAAUUCUAGACAGUUUUUUCUUGGUCAAAUAAAAAUUUAAUUAAAACUUU
rnacentral:lncRNA from 1 species